ACUUUGAGAGAGAGUUCAAGAGUACGUGAAACUGCUCAGGGGCAAACGGGUGGGCCCUCGAAGUCCCCGGGAGAGGGAUUCAGCCUCUUUACGGUACGACGCCGCAACCGACGGACUCCUCGAGGAGCCGCGGCGGCGGAGAGUCGGACUGUGAAGGGACGCACUUUCCUCUCCCAUCGAGGACGCCGCAGCCGGUGGGACGUCGGCGGUGAGGAACCUACGCGGAGGUGGCGUGGACCGCGGCCGAAGAGCCGAGAGUCCCGUGUCUGCCGCGCCGGGGAAUCCGCGCGCGACGUCCGACCGAGGGUAAUCACGAUAARUGAUGUGGCCGCCGCCUAGCGAGCGGGACCCCGAGUCAGGGAAGGCGAGCGUCGGCGAGUCACCGAGCGGUGUCCGUCUAYGUCUCGCUGCCCGGUGGGCCGGGUCGACCCGCGGCGCGCGAGUCACGGCUUGCGGCGAGUAGGUCGGUAACCCACCCGACCCGUCUUGAAACACGGACCAAGGAGUCUAACAUGUGCGCGAGUCAGUGGGACUCGAACAAGCCCACGGGCAGAACGAAAGUGAGAACCGUCGGGAUCCCUCGGUCCCGGCCGAGGGCGCACCGACAGCCUGGCGCGACCCACUACGUGGAAUGGGCCGGAGCCGGAGCGCACACGUUGGGACCCGAAAGAUGGUGAACUAUGCCCGGGCAGGUCGAAGCUAGAGGAAACUCUGGUGGAGGACCGCAGCGGCUCUGACG
rnacentral:rRNA from 1 species